UGCCCAGCAACUCCUAUUCCUACCUCCUCGUGGUACAGGCCGGGGUACGAGUAACCUUGGGGAAGAUCGGGUAACCAACCCCCGGUGGGAACUUUGGUCGUAUGCUGACAGGGAAGG
rnacentral:ribozyme from 1 species